CCUCCUCAUUAUGUGUGAAUUAUACCCAGACUGGUCUGAGCACAAAGAGGGGCUAUGAAAGCUGAAGACACCACAGGCACAGCAUGCCUGGUAUAUGGGGACACAGUGAAGGGCUGGACGGUACUCAAGAAGUCCGUGGCAGCCUCCUCGGUGGUCAAGACAAGAGCAGAGAAUGGGACUCAGGCACACGACCGUAUGUACUUGGAGGUCUGCAAAACACGGAUGGUGUUCGUGUGCAUUCCGUAUUUUGUGGAACGGAACAGCCGGCCCCUAAUGGAACAUGUUCUAUUUUUUUGUGGAACGGAACAUCCCCUGAGGAAGUGACGGCGAAACUGGUCGGCAUUAUAUUUAUGUAUUAUUCUUGAAUGUACUGUAUAUGCACUUAAUCUCUAUAUGGAUAGAUUGCCUUGGACCCUUACUUAUUUUUGGUAGGAGAUAGUACUAUACUAUUUGGGAUGUAUACGAUGCCCGUGUUUCCUUUAUCACCUUAGGUGGUGUGCGGUAUCAUCUAUAGGACAGGUUGUUCAGUCAUUCAGGUGUACGCUUGCUGCCUAGAGUCUAUUUUGAAAUAUUUUUGUACAUGUGAACAAUAAAGUAGUGGUUUAUAAUACAGUAUGCGCGGUGUUUGUAUUUGGGGGUUGCGAUUCAUAUCGGUUACCCACAGCAACCAAUUUGUUAGGAGCCGAAUAGUUUUUUGGUGUGGAAUGCACACGGAGUAAGGCCUCGUGCACACGAACAUAUUUUGUUUCCAUGUCUGUUCAGUUUUUUUUUUUUUGCGGAUAGGAUGCAGACCCAUUCAUUUCAAUGGGUCCGCAAAA